UACGUAGGGUGCAAGCGUUAAUCGGAAUUACUGGGCGUAAAGCGUGCGCAGGCGGUUAUGUAAGACAGAUGUGAAAUGCCCGGGCUUAACCUGGGAACUGCAUUUGUGACUGCAUGGCUAGAGUUUGGCAGAGGGGGGUAGAAUUCCACGUGUAGCAGUGAAAUGCGUGAGAUAUGUGGAGGAACACCGAUGGCGAAGGCAGCCCCCUGGGUCAAGACUGACGCUCAUGCACGAAAGCGUGGGGAGCAAACGAGG
rnacentral:rRNA from 1 species